AACCCAUCAUGAGAGAACCUUUUCAAAAGAUCCUUCAAUCUCUCCCAUGCAUCAUAUAAUGUCUCCAAAUCAAAUUGAGUAAAAGAAGAGAUGUCGUUCCUCAACUU
rfam:Gossypium raimondii Chr08_contig_414, whole genome shotgun sequence.